GGGAUGGCUCUAGGGCAGGCCAGUGGGCUAGCUGGGUCAUGACUGGUUUAGGAGACCAGCUCUUUAUCUGUCAUCAGGUUGGCCUAUGUUCCUGGACACAAAUUUGGAAACAGAAAGAGCUUCAGGUCCUGACAGUGCAAGAGGAGGGGACCUGGAUAUUCUGGGCUAUAUUAUCCUUGGUAGAAGGUCUAGAGAGAUUGUCUCUGUGUAUCAGUAGAGUGUCUCCUCUCUGUCUUUUGCUCAAGUGACUUUCCUGCAAUCUCUCCCUAUGGGUGAUGCUCAAAGGGCUGCAGCAGAAAUGCUGACCAGGCAUCCAGAUGCACAUGGGCUCUGACCUCCAGUCUGCAAGGCUGAUCAUCUCUACCCUGCUCACUGUGGUGUCCCUUCACCACUGGGCUCCAACCUGUGCGAGUUGUUUUAUUGAUCUAGCUAAGAAUUCAAGCACUAUAUUGAACAGGCAUGGAGAGAGUAGAUCGACGUCUUUAUCUCGUUCCUGACAUUUGGUGCCUAACUGGAAGUUUCACCCCUACUGACCAGUGUUCACGGUACUAGAAGGUACUCUGCAUGCUAUCCCAGGAAGGAAAUCAACGGAAUCACCCAGCUACAAGCCCUGUGACCUACAGCAGCAACCUACUUGCAAGAUACACUGGCACAGCCGUGGCACAGAUGUUAUGGGAGUGACCAACCUAUUUAUUGCAUUUAUGGUCCACUGCUGUAGCAGUGGCCAAUUAAGUACUCAGAUUGAUCCUGGUGGUGGUGGAGGAGCUCUUUGCCGCCCUUCCCAAUGUGUUGGAUUUUCAAAUGAAAUACACACACACACACACACAC